UACGUAGGGGUGCGAGCGUUGUCCGGAAUUACUGGGCGUAAAGAGCUCGUAGGUGGUUUGUCGCGUUGUUCGUGAAAACUCACAGCUUAACUGUGGGCGUGACGGGCGAUACGGGCAGACUGGAGUACUGCAGGGGAGACUGGAAUUCCUGGUGUAGCGGUGGAAUGCGCAGAUAUCAGGAGGAACACCGGUGGCGAAGGCGGGUCUCUGGGCAGUAACUGACGCUGAGGAGCGAAAGCGUGGGGAGCGAACAGG
rnacentral:rRNA from 1 species